UAGCAGAGUAGCCAUGAGUGCAG
rnacentral:piRNA from 1 species